rnacentral:tRNA from 1 species
GCGACUGUGGCGAAGUGGUUAACGCACCGGGUUGUGGUCUCGGCAUGCGUGGGUUCGAACCCCAUCAGUCGCC